rnacentral:rRNA from 1 species
UACGUAGGGGGCAAGCGUUGUCCGGAUUUAUUGGGCGUAAAGAGCGUGUAGGCGGCCAGACAGGUCCGCUGUGAAAACUCGAGGCUCAACCUCGAGACGCCGAUGGAAACCAUGUGGCUAGAGUCCGGAAGAGGAGAGUGGAAUUCCUGGUGUAGCGGUGAAAUGCGCAGAUAUCAGGAAGAACACCCGUGGCUAAGGCGGCUCUCUAGUACGGUACUGACGCUGAGACGCGAAAGCGUGGGGAGCGAACAGG